UCAUGAGGAGCCUGCCUGUUACGCGAAUGCAGUAAGAAGCAAAGGUCAGGUGUGAAGCAUGGGAACGCGGAUGCCCUAUCAAGAAGGGAGAUGUACAUCGCACUGACGACCGGAAGGGGCGUACCGUAGACCAGCCACUAGGGGGAGACUCGAGGCCUGGUGGUGACAGACCUUCUACAUCACGCUGCGGUGGCUCCCUCUGCUGGACGUGCCAGGUCUCGUCGGGGCCUCCGGCCAGGACUAAUUGGGGAUGAUUGCUCACCAGCUGUAAGGGGCCCAUAAAGCUGCCAGGAGGGCAGCACACGGGAGGGUUGGAGGUAGUAACAGGUUGCUACCGGACAGACGUCCUCAUGUUCUGCUAGAACCGAGGGGCUUGGCGUUCUACCCCAGAGGAAACCGGGUUAUUUUUCUUUGUUUUAAAUAAACACCCUUGAAACUGU